GGCCUACCAUGGUGGUAACGGGUAACGGGGUGUUAGGGCACGACACCGGAGAGGGAGCCUGAGAAACGGCUACCACAUCCAAGGAUGGCAGCAGGCGCGCAAAUUACCCAAUCCCGACACGGGGAGGUAGUGACAAUAAAUAACAAUACGGGGUUCUUUCGGAUCUCGUAAUUGGAAUGAGUACAAUUUAAAUCUCUUAACGAGGAACAAUUGGAGGGCAAGUCUGGUGCCAGCAGCCGCGGUAAUUCCAGCUCCAAUAGCGUAUAUUAAAGUUGUUGCAGUUAAAAAGCUCGUAGUUGAAUUUCGGGGUUAGCAGGUCGGUCGUGCCAUCGGUAUGAACUGGCCUCGCUGAUCCCUCCCUCUUGACGAACUGUGAUGCCAUUAAUUUGGUGUCGGAGGGAAUCAGGACUGUUACUUUGAAAAAAUUAGAGUGUUUAAAGCAGGCUCACGCUUGAAUACAUUAGCAUGGAAUAAUGAAAUAGGACGUUUGAUCCUAUUUUGUUGGUUUCUAGGGAUUGACGUAAUGAUUAAUAGGGAUAGUUGGGGGCAUUAGUAUUCAAUUGUCAGAGGUGAAAUUCUUGGAUUUAUUGAAGACUAACUACUGCGAAAGCAUUUGCCAAGGAUGUUUUCAUUAAUCAAGAACGAAAGUUAGGGGAUCGAAGACGAUCAGAUACCGUCGUAGUCUUAACCAUAAACUAUGCCGACUAGGGGAUCGGAUGAUGUUAAUUUUUUAAUGACUCNUUCGGCCCCUUACG
rnacentral:rRNA from 1 species